AGUGAAGCUGCCAGCAUGAUCUAGCUUUGGUUGGCACCAUUGGCAGGCGCCCACACAGUGGCCUCUUCCGUGUGUGUAGUGCCGCUCUGUACCUGCAAAUCAUUGUUAGAUCAUGCAUGACAGCCUCAUUUC
rnacentral:pre_miRNA from 1 species